AUUGAACGCUGGCGGCAUGCCUUACACAUGCAAGUCGAACGGUAACAGGUUAAGCUGACGAGUGGCGAACGGGUGAGUAAUACAUCGGAACGUGCCCAGACGUGGGGGAUAGCUCGGCGAAAGCCGGAUUAAUACCGCAUAAGCUCUGAGGAGGAAAGCGGGGGACCGUAAGGCCUCGCGCGUUUGGAGCGGCCGAUGGCAGAUUAGGUGGUUGGUGGGGUAAAGGCUUACCAAGCCUACGAUCUGUAGCUGGUCUGAGAGGACGACCAGCCACACUGGGACUGAGACACGGCCCAGACUCCUACGGGAGGCAGCAGUGGGGAAUUUUGGACAAUGGGCGAAAGCCUGAUCCAGCAAUGCCGCGUGCAGGAUGAAGGCCUUCAGGUUGUAAACUGCUUUUGUACGGAACGAAAAGGCGCCUACUAAUACUGGGUGUUGAUGACGGUACCGUAAGAAUAAGCACCGGCUAACUACGUGCCAGCAGCCGCAGUAA
rnacentral:rRNA from 1 species